rnacentral:lncRNA from 1 species
CUACUAUCCACUAAAACGAUUUUAAGCGUGCUUUUAGAUUUUCAAGCUACCAUCACAUUUGCAUCUCUGGUGUGUCUGUCCACACUCCAUACUCAAACUGCAUUGUGAAACUGAGCCAAAACCCCUCUGUUCCGGUCACAUCCAUAAUAAGUGACACGCCAGUGAGUCAGUGACUCCUGUGACGGUGAGCCGUUGCUAUGCCAUGCUCUUCCGCGAGUGCAGCACGAUCCAGCACUUUUGACAGCCACGGUAUAGUUAUAGAUAAGAUUUCGUCCAGAUAUAGGCAAUCAUCCUUUCAAUAACUGGUCAUACAUGAAAUCCAUUGGCUACAAUUAUAUUGGUUGAAGAAUCACUAUAGGAAAUGUGGAUUAUAAAACUGAACACAACCUGUGUUCGUAAGUCUAUUUAAAUUGAUCAUGAUAUACAAGUCACUGAUAAAAUCCAACCUAUAUAAAACUCACUAACUAAAAUAUUGGAGAUAGAUUUUGCACUGGAUAUUAUUAAAAAACAAAAUAUGAUUGCACUAUUCUACCAUCAGCUAUAAUAACCAGAAAAAUAAACAUAAACUCAUAAACUCGGAAAGCAUUGAGUCAAGGAAUAGCUGGAACAGGAAUAAUUCCCAAUUUUCUGCGAACAUCUUCCAAAUCUUGAUGAAAAUGCUGCUCAUAAUAUACACACAUGAGAUCAUUGCACUGUGUGCCAGCACGAACAGCCCAGGGGAAGUAGUGCUGAUAAAACAAUUUUCUUUGUUUUUCACUGAAUCUUGCUGUGCCUCCUAAAACAGACAUGACACACAUAGGAAGAUGCAUCUGCUCAAACUCAAUUACCUUUAGCGCUGACUCCCCAAUCAAGUUAGUAGGAAGGUCAAAAAGGGUAUGCCAGAAGUCAUGGACUUCACGAGCUCGCAUGGCAACAUAGGCCAACUCAUCUGUAUCCAUGAAGCGCACAGGAGGUCGAUCAUCUGGUGAAAAAUUCCUGGAUCCCAUAAAUCUAGCAUAGGCAGCACCAAAUGUAUUAGCUGGCAGGUCCCAAGCAUGUCCUACAUUCGCAGAUACAACACGAGGGCGCUCCAAAAGUACUGCCUGUCAAACAAGGUAAGGUUGUAAAAGCAAAUGCAUUGGUAUUAGUGAUGACUAUCUAUAACCCCUUUAAUCUGAAGAAAUGAAGCAAUAAUCAUCCUUGUAGAAUUUUGAAAUUCCAAAAGAAAACAAACAUGUUGUUGAAAGAAUAAAAGAACAUGAAAAUAACUAAAAAUUGGAGAACCGACCCUUCCUUCAGGGGAAGAUUUCAUCCUUUGAAGAACCCUUUGAAAGGCAGGCUUUCCGGUUGUUUCACCAAGAGCUGCUAUCAAAUCAGCUCUUCGUGGAUCCAAAAGUGCUCCAACUGCAGAACCUAAUGCCACAGCUGUCUUCUGCCAUGUCUUCAGCUUGAUUAAACCGCCUCCCACCAUUCCAAAUAGUUUGUAAAAUCUGAUUCAUUCACGGAAUUCAAUCACAAUUGUUAACAUCGAAUUUAGGGUUUUGUGAAUUUAAAUUGAAGAAGAAGAAGAAGAAGAGAUCAAUUGAAUGAGUUCACCUGUGUUGAGAGAGGCGAGGAGAUUGAAAAAGGGUUUUGUUUUAUACACGUCAAAAUCUCUCUUAAUAUAAGAAGGGAAGAUGUUGUGGAAAACUUAUUUUUGCCCAUCAAUGAUUGGCUGCCACAUAUCACUUUUAAGGGUAAAUUUUGUCUUAAAAUUACUUUUUCUAACUAAAUGACCUCACUUAACUACUAUGAUGUCAUUUAACCAUAAAAAGCUUAUAGUUUGAUUUAUUUUGCUCUUCAAAAAGUCAGUUCCAUUACAUGCCAACUAUAAGCCAGAUUUUGGUUGACACGGAAUCCAAUCAAUGGAGCCAAAUUCUCAAUUUCAAAAUUCAAAUUUCAAACAGACUUUAUAUUUAUCCUUCAAUACUCAUAUUCUCUCAUCUUUCUUUCAUUUUCCUUUCCUCUUUUUUCUGACAUAUUCUUAUCUACAUUUUUUCUUGUUUUCAUUUCUUUAGCUUCAUUUUCUUCUCUCAUUGCAGGAAAUUCUUUUUAAAACAAAGAACACAGACAGGUAAAAUAAUUUCUUUUCAUCUUUACAAAACCAUGAAAAUGAUCAUUAAACUCAUUAUUUCUUUAAUUUUUUAUCUUCAUUUUAUUGUUGAGCUUCAUAUGACAUAUUUAACAAACUAUAGAAUCUUCAACAUCACAUAUGAGGCAAAACAAGAAAAUAUAUAAAGAUGAGAAGUUAAAGAAAGAAUACAUAUCCAAAAACAGUCCUAACACAAUUUUACAAUUAUAUCAACAACAAAAAAGUAAAUAUACAAAAUAUAUUCAUUAGAAAAUGCUGAUUGUGCCUUCUUAGUUUGUUUGUCUUGCAAACUUGUCAGCUGAUCUAAUGUUUAUCCUUUCAUUGGCAGGAAGAUUCCAGAUCACAUACGAGCAAUAAGGGAAGGAAAAAAAAAAAAAAAAAAAAAAGAGCCCAUAAAUAAGAGAUAGAGGGAUGAGCAGCUGAUUCUCAGAGUGAGAGAAUUGAGAAUAUGGUUUAGUAUCAGUUUGGUUUUAUUUUUUUAUGCAUAACAAUUUCGGCUUUGUAAAUAAAAAAAAACUAUGUAUAAAGUGAAUUUUUUUAGAAAGAAAUGAAUAUUAUUUGAGUCAUAUUACAAGAAAAUGUAAGUGAAAUUUUUGUUAAAUCAUAACAAGUAAUAACAGAAAGUGAAAAAAAAAAUUUCUUUUGAUUUACAAAUAAAAUUUUUAUUCUUCUGUAAAAACAAAUCCUAAAUUCUGAAGAAAAAAAAAAAAGCUGUUCUAUCAAAGAUUCAUUGAAAAAAGAUUUUUGUUAUCAAUCUGUAGUAUAAAAAAAACAGACUUUUUUAUCAGUAGCAUCAGAACUAAAAAAGAUUCAUCUACAAAAGAAAUUUUUACAUCUCUAGAAAUAAAACAAAAUCACAUCCAAUUUCAUAUUUGUAUUGUUGUUGUUGCAUGUAAUGGAAACAAAAUAUGUAAAGAACUUGACCUUGAUGAAGACAACAGCCCAGGUUUAAGUGUUUGUGUAAAAAUUCUGACCCAGAUCUGGAAAACACGUAAGCUCUUUCCCGGCACGGUGGUUGCAAGCUCCGGCGUGGUGGUCACCGGCGAAGGUUGUCCGUUCCUGAUUUUCUUUAAAUGGGUUUUGUAGAGAAGAUGGAGGGGACUCUUUUUAUGGUGAUGGAUUUUCAAAAGCUUGUGCGUGGAUGUCAAGAUCUAGCCGAAAAGAUGGUCGUAGGGAAAUUUAAAAUCAUCUUUGAGUUGAAAUAAAUUUGAUAGAGUAUAAUUACAUAUGAAAAGGAGAGGAUGAAGAUGGUGGAGCAAUGUAACGACCGCCGGAGACACACUGAAGGAGGGAGGAGGAGGAGGAGGAGGCGUCGGCUAGGGUUUGUUUGAGAAUGAGAGAGUUUUCUAGAUUUCUUUGGUGAAGAGAGAGAAAAUUAACUUUGAAAUAAAUAUGGUGUGUGUGGAAUAAAGUUAAAUGACAAAAAAUAAAAUAAAAAGAAAAUUAUAAAAAUAUACUCUAGGUUUGUACGAGAUAGAAACGGGUAUAGACUUUUUUUAUUGCAAAAUUAGUGUAACAUAAUAAAAAUAAAAAUAAAUAAUUUCUUUAAAAAAAUAAUAAUUAUUAUUAUUAUUAUUAUUUCUUUAUCAAAUAAAAAAAAAUAGUAGUAGUUUAUUUAAUCUCUAAAAAUAUAAUUUAAUAAAUGUUAUUUUACAUACACACACAUAUAUAUAUAUAUAUAUAUAUAUAUAUAUAACGGCGUGUUUUUUUACAAGAUCUAAAGACGUGUUGUUACAUUAAUUAAUGAAUAUUAAAAUUUAAUUUUUUUAUAUUCAUAAAGACAUAAGGUAAAUAAAUUUCAUUGUUACAUUUGCAUCUCUGGUGUGUCUGUCCACACUCCAUACUCAAACUGCAUUGUGAAACUGAGCCAAAACUUCUCUGUUCCGGUCACAUCCAUAAUAAGUGACACGCCAGUGAGUCAGUGACUCCUGUGAUGGUGAGCCGUUGCUAUGCCAUGCUCUUCCGCGAGUGCAGCACGAUCCAGCACUUUUGACAGCCACGGUAUAGUUAUAGAUAAGAUUUCGUCCAGAUAUAGGCAAUUAUCCUUUCAAUAAUCGGUCAUACAUGAAAUCCAUUGGCUACAAUUAUAUUGGUUGAAGAAUCACUGUAGGAAAUGUGGAUUAUAAAACUGAACACAGCCUGUGUUCGUAAGUCUAUUUAAAUUGAUCAUGAUAUACAAGUCACUGAUAAAAUACAACCUAUAUAAAACUCACUAACUAAAAUAUUGGAGAUAGAUUUUGCACUGGAUAUUAUUAAAAAACAAAAUAUGAUUGCACUAUUCUACCAUCAGCUAUAAUAACCAGAAAAAUAAACAUAAACUCAUAAACUCGGAAAGCAUUGAGUCAAGGAAUAGCUGGAACAGGAAUAAUUCCCAAUUUUCUGCGAACAUCUUCCAAAUCUUGAUGAAAAUGCUGCUCAUAAUAUACACACAUGAGAUCAUUGCACUGUGUGCCAGCACGAACAGCCCAGGGGAAGUAGUGCUGAUAAAACAAUUUUCUUUGUUUUUCACUGAAUCUUGCUGUGCCUCCUAAAACAGACAUGACACACAUAGGAAGAUGCAUCUGCUCAAACUCAAUUACCUUUAGCGCUGACUCCCCAAUCAAGUUAGUAGGAAGGUCAAAAAGGGUAUGCCAGAAGUCAUGGACUUCACGAGCUCGCAUGGCAACAUAGGCCAACUCAUCUGUAUCCAUGAAGCGCACAGGAGGUCGAUCAUCUGGUGAAAAAUUCCUGG